rnacentral:lncRNA from 1 species
UCGCGUAGACCACCAUAUAAUUACUCUGAUCAACGUAAGGUAGCCACCAUAUAUGCUUAGGUUGCUGCAGACUCAUACACCAAACCUUCCUCACCUAAUAACUGUGCUAGAUCCAGUACCAAGGUCAUUAGAUUGCUGAGUCCCCGUGGCUCACAGAUUCCUACAAACCUGAACAGGUACAGGUACGCCCGACGCAUGAGAUCCUAAUGACAACCACCUGAAGUGGGAGUUUGAUGAGGACUUUGGCCGUCUGUAUGUGAACUAUCUGGAAGACUGAGGCCGUGGUCGUGAUCGUGGGCCAGCAUGCGAGAUGUCUUAGUUUAUUUGUUUCCUAUUUAAGUCCGUAGCUGGACCGUGUGCAACUCGGAAUAAUGUGUGUCUGUAAGCUAUGUGCUAUAUUCUUAACAGAUGGCAAGUGUAUGCCCUACUUGUUAAUCUUUUAAUUAUGUAUUGUG